UUCCCUGCCGCACACGCUGAGUCGUCUGAAGCGGUUCUCACUCAGAGUUGUAACAUCAAGACCCUUGAAGACGUGGCUUUGGAUCUAGUCAGUUGAAAGCAAAGGCUAUGGUUUGCUAGCUAAGAAUAUCUUUAUUAGACGAGCAUCGCGUGUGCUGCCGGUUCCACAGGUUUUGGGUACUCUACCCACCUCUGACCCAAGGUCUUUGGUGUCCCAGCGCCGGAGUGAAGGAGGCCUGGGAAGAUCGCAUCCUGGGUGCACUGGGCCUGUGCAGAGAAAUGCAGGCAGUAGAGAUGGUGGGAGUAACAUUACUAAUAUCGCCCCACACUAAUUUCAGACUUGUGAGUAUUAGCCCUGGGAUGUUUCCAGCGCGGCUCUCUGCUCACGCGGCUGGGCCUACUUCUCUAGCAGAUCAUGGAUAUGCUUCUCCACGUCCUUCAGCUUCAACUGCACUCCUGCAUAUAAAGGCAGACACACAUCCGCCAUAAAAGCAAGUAACAGUGAGUAAAACAAUGGUAAUGUGUGUGAAUAGAUUGUAAGCAAUGUAAGCAAGAUUAGCAGCAACCAUGCUAGGGAUGCUAAAGGGCUAAAAGCUAGUAGCAAAUUCAGGAAAUCAAAAUAAAACUAGUGAUAGCAAGGCGCACAGAUUCUUUUUGUUGUAGAAACGAAAGGGGAUAUGUUCACACGUUAUAAAAACCAGCCAUCAUGUCUGCAUUCGGAAGUCAACGUCAUGCACAAACCUGCACCCUCUCUCCCAAACUGUCAGAAGAACGAUGGAGGAAAGUACCUGAAAGUUGCAGAACCACUCAUUCUCUGUAAUGAAUGUGCAUUUCCCCCACGCCAGUUGGCAUAAAAAAAAAAAAAAUACCACUUCAGGUCAACUUCGUACCGUGCCAUAUCUGCAGACUUAUUAAAAUAUUGUGCAGGAAAGACAGAUCCAAUCUGUUAUCCAGAUAGAGAAGUCGUGCUUGAUCAGAUCAUGAUGAUCGCAUAUUAAUGCCAAGUGUAAAUGCAGCCACCAUGAUAUUUGCUACUGUAAAUGGGUGUGCCUUCAUCUUGAGUUUAUUUUUUAUUAAAAAUGGUUCAUUUUCCACCUUUUCCUUUUAUAAUACAAGAUAUAACAAAAAAGUGGAAACUACUAAAUAAUCAUAAAGUCUGCAUAUAUAAUUAGGAAGAUGAACCUGCUUUACAGACUCACAGACACAACUGUUUUACUCAAACACAGAACCAGGAAACACGUGUUCAGGGAAAGAGAAACUGAAGUGCAGUUGAGCUGUUGUGUGUUUGUGGCUCUGUAUUCAAGCAGUAAAAUGGCAGGAGCCAGAGUUUUUCAGGAUGAGUUCAUGUGUGCAGUGUGUCAGGAUCUUCUGAAGGAUCCAGUGACAACUUAAUGUGGACACAGUUACUGUAAGAGCUGUAUUACAGGUUGCUGGGAUCAGGAGGAUCAGAUGAGAGUCUACAGCUGCCCUCAGUGCAGACAGACCUUCAGUCCAAGACCUGCUUUAGCUAGAAACACCAUGCUGGCUGAAGUGAUAGAGAAACUGAAGAAGAGGAAAUGUCCUGCUGACUGUGACGCUGGAGCUGGAGAUGUGCAGUGUGACGUCUGUACUGGAAGAAAAUACAAAGCCAUCAAGUUGUUGUUUAUUUGUUAUCAGCUCCACUUUUACUGGAUUCAUCUGUUCACAUGAUAAUUUUGUGUGAGAUUCACUAUCAUCCGUUUGUCCUGCAGCACCAGCUGAAGGAGACGCAGAAGACGUUCCAGCAGAGAAUCCAGCAGAGAGAGAAAGAUCUUCAGCAGCUGAGAGAGGCUGUGGAGUCUCAGAAGACAGCAGUGGAGGACAGUGAGAGGAUCUUUACUGAGCUCAUCCGCUCCAUUGAGAGACGCCGCUCUGAGCUGAUACGGCUGAUCAGAGAUCAGGAAAAGCAAGCAGUGAGUCGAGCUGAAGGACGACUGGGCGACUGGAGCAGGAGAUCAAUGAUCUGAGGAGGAGAGACGCUGAGCUGGAGCAGGGCCGUACCGAGAGCCAGCUGAAGAGGUGGUCUCGGUCCGCUUCCAAACGAACUCUGGUACGGUUGGAUGGAUGAACCAAUAAAUGGAUGACCUUAGCACAUGUGUUGUUUUGUUUACAAUCUCUGGUUCACUUGCAAAAAGGGCAGUGUGAAAGUGAACCGCACCAAAGAAAAAAAAAAUCAACAUUGUAUUUGGUCCGGACCAAAGCAAGUGAACUAGAGGACUUUCCUGGUGUGAAUACACCCUAAAGUUAUAAGUGAUGUUUUAUUAACAAAUUUCGGGAGGAGCACGCGCAGAUAAUUAACACAGCCAAUUCAUCAUCAGCAAUCACACCAUCUAUCCAAUCAGCUCGAGAGAGAACCCCUAUAAAUAAUCAAAGCAGUCUUACCUCCAUCAGCUCUAGUCUUUCAGCGUUCGGUUCGCUCCUUUGCCAUUAUAUCACAGACCCAAUUUUUUCCCCAUCCAAACAACGUGACCUAUACUUGAGAUUUUCAGAUCCUCUGCAGCAAAUCCGCCGGCCCCAGGAUCACUCCUCCUCCGCCAGUCAUCGCCGCCGAGCCCCAGGCUCCAUCGCGGCCGCUGCUCUGCUCGACCAGCCACAAGAUUUCCCCAACACUGAGGCUUAACCUCACCUCCACUGCCUAAAUUUCCAACUUCCCUGGCACCCUCAUAUCAUUCGGCUGCGCCAACAAUUUCUCAGAUCGGAAAGUGGCAGAGGCAAAUGCUGAUUAAUUCGCUCCGUUCUCGCAGAGGAUAAACAAAUGGAUUUGUACGAUCUAUUCGUCACCCUGUAAAUCAGCCAACCUCACUCCUAAAUCCACUCCAGCCGCCAAGGCGGCCAAUAGAUCGAGCAAAGCCCCGAACUCGUCUCGCUUGACACCACCAUUGUCCCGCACAAGACCCGGCUCUCCGCGAGCGUCGGAUCACAGAAGCAGGCCUUCAACAAGCCAGUUCUUACCGCAGCAAAGCCUCACUCGCUUCCCGCUUCGGCUCAGCCUUCACCUCGGCUUCUGUUUCCAGACGCAAGCGCGAGGCUGCCUCCGCUAGCGGCGCAGGCCACCAGUCUUGCCAAACAAUUUUCAGGUAAAAAUCGCUAAAGGCAGAUCAUUUGUUGUUAAAGUUGUUAAAUGACGUUGCGACAUCAACGGAUGUUAAUGUCAUUACGUAAUCAUGACUCAAGUGCUUAGAAUACACACUGCAAUUACUCGCUUAUUUUUCACCAGCAUUUUACCCGUAUUUAAUUUACUCAUUUCAUUUUGAUAAAUGGAUAGAUAAGUCAGAUAAUCAUCAGUGAAACUUCUCUUCCACUGUUGAUCUUAACCAGAAAACAAAAAUUAAUCUCAGUGGACCAACAGUAAUGAUUAACAAUCAUAAGUACAAACUAAAAAAUUAAGGUGUAUCAUAAAUAAACAAAUACUGAACAAGUGCAACCUGCAACUUAAUUCAUAUAUGAAGUGCAUACUGCUAGGCACCUCCCUCAAAGUGUCUAACGUUACCAGCCAAUGUGCCGCUUAGCUGGCUAGCUGUUUCAACAUGUUUUCCUUUUGUGUGGUUAAGAGAAAAACGCAUGCCUUUUACCAUUUUACCACUUUUUAAAGGUUUCAAAAUACAAUUUUUAAAAUGGCUACAUUUUUUGCUAGUUGCUUUGAAAAGUUGCUAGGGUAGUCUGAGAAAUUGUUAAAUCCAGCAACAAAAUUGCUAAGUUGGCAACGCUGCAGGCUACCCGGACAUUUCAGCAUGUCCUGCCAAAGUCACAAACCAUUCCCCUUUUUUUUCCGCAGCCGACAGCUACAGCAGCCGAAGCAAGCGUGUAGCUGCCUCCGCUGGCAACACAGGCCCACAUAUCUCAGUCUUUUCCUGCCACCACUAAUAACCCCUCUUCCUUUUCAGUGACCUCCAGCUUUCAUAGCAGACGCUAGCGUGAGGCUGCCUCUGCUAGCGGUGAAGACCCAUCCAUAUCAAAGAAGCUCACCGAACCCUCAUCAGCAGACCCCUUCAACGCCAGUCCAUCCCUGUUCACUUGAACCUCAGACCCGCCAUAGCCAUCCUCUUUAACACCACCAAAUCCACCCAUAGCUGCUCAUCUCCACUUCAGCCAUCUCAGCAACACCCCGCUCCUGCAGGAGACUUAUCUGAUUUUUCUCCACCGCCGCAGCAGUACUUGAUUCCACAGAAGCCUCCUUCUCUUUUCAGAUGCCAUGGCAGGGACGGCUCGCGCAGGAGCCUUUUCUAUAUUCCUCCACUGCCGCAGCAGUGCCCGCUUCUGCAGAAGCCACAUUCUCUCUUCAGAUGUUGCAGCAGUGCCGCUUCUGCAGAAGCCGCAUUUUCUUUCAGAUGUUGCAGCAGUAUCAGCUCCUGCAGGAGCUAAACUCUCUUCUCUAAGGCCACAGCAAUGCCGUUACUCCAAGCGACAUCCAGCACCCCACCAACAUUAAGCUCUGCCAAUUUUGGGGGGUUAUCAACGCACUUCUCUGGCUGCUGUCCCGUGAUUAUUGCAUCUUUGGGGGGAAUGCUCUGGGUCCGGGCUCCAGUGUGAUGUAUGGUGUGAGAGUCAAUGUGGUGAGUGAGUGACCUCUGGUGGUGGGUGAACGGAAGUUCAUAGACCGGAUUUGUGACAAACUGCAACUAUACUAAAAGUAAACUUAUAGGUAUACUGAUAGUUUACUAAUUAAAUACUUUAAGAGUUCAUUUGCAAAAACCGAUAACUUCAUUUUUUUUUUUUUUUUUUCAGAAAUCACGUUUUUUUUAUUUUUUAUUACGCAUUCCAAAUAAUAUCAAUCAAACUGCAGUUGGGUUGUUUUAAUUAAGUAAUAACUAAACAAAUACAGGCAAUUUACAAAAUGAAAGUUAACAAAGUAUGUUUUUUUUUUUUUUUUUCUCCAUAUUAAAAGUUUUUUAUAGCAAAAGCAGAUAACUCCAACAGUGUUUUUUUUUUUUUUUUGGCAAAAGCAGAUAACUCCACAUUUCCUGUUUUAGAGUUAAAAAAAAACAAAACAAAAAAAACACUCGUUUAACCUUUGUAAUCUCCUCAGAUGACAAUGUAGAUGCCUGACAAUGUUGUUGUGAUCAUAAAUUGUAUGGAUGUGAUUACACGCAAUACACGGAGCUUUUCCCUCACCAUUGCUGCUUUUUCAAGGUUCCAUGAAAAUGUUUCAGAUUUUCUUUUCUUUUACGCCCUGAAGAAGAUAUCAUAUCAUCAAGUUCGUCAAAAUUAUCCAUCCUCGAUCAAUUUUAGUCAGCUUAGAAGAAACUCCUCUCAGCUAGCACGUGUUUUCAAAGUGAAAGUAGCCUUGUCACCUGACCUGAAUACAGCGCGCUGAUUCGCUAAAAUGGACUUAUCGGCUUCGGUUCAACAACAAGGGUACUUGUCGGCUUCUGCAGUAAAACGUGAACUCGCGAUGCCUUGAAAGUGGACAAUACAGGCUUUUUUGACAAAGCGUGUUUAGGGUUUAGAUCGCGUGGCAUUUAUUGUUUUUUCAAAUGAACUCUUCACUUGUAGUAGCAUUUUAGUACAUUUGGAAGUAUAGUCUCAGUAAUAGUAGUUUUAUACUGAAAGUAUAUUCAUAAGUUUUUUUUUAAGUGAACUUUACAUCAUACUUUAAGCAUACUACUAUGGCCAUAUUUAGGUAUUAAUUUGUAUGUGUAUAUAUAUAUAUAUAUAUUGUUGUAUGAAUGUCUGAACAUACAAAACAUCAAAAGAAAGAACAGGGUACCUGCUUGGAAACAAAAACAUUUCUAGUUUCAUGCAUUCUUUUUUAAACACUUGAAUGUGGGUAAGUUUCAUUAAUAAAAAAUAAACAAUAUUUUGGAAAAAAAAAAAAAAGCUGAAAAAAGACUAUGAAUUGGAUUCAGAAUGAUAAUCAAAACGUAGAUGGAAUCGAUCAACACCCCAAAGCUUGACAGUCAUUAUUACCUCUUCAUUGGUCGACAUUUUAUUCCAUAACAUUACAUAGUUUUGAUGUUGUUUAAUGUCUGACGACAGUGUUAGAUUACAUGUAGAAGCAUCUGUUGUUUUGGUUUUUUCUUCACGUGUUUGUUUGCUUUUUGAAACUCUGUACAGAAGAUGUGUACUAGCGCCCCCUACCACAGAACAAUGAAAAUGCAGAUCCUCAGAGCACAAGUAUAGCUCAAAUACUUUUUCUAAGUAUAAGUCAAGUAUACUUAAAUGUCAUUUUAAGUAUAUUUCUGAGAAGUACAUAAAGUAGACUAAAAGUAUACUUUCCUAUUUUUAGUUUAAAAGUAUACUAAUAGCACAUUUAAAUAAACUAGAAUCUGUAACUCUAAUGUGAUGUAAUGAAUAUGAGAAGAAUGAAGCGGAUGCUGUGAAAGUGCUGGAUUGAGGUGAGUUACUAAAGAUCAGUCAAGUUAACAAGAGCCGUACAAAUCUGUUGUUGGUGCAAGUUAUUGGGUGAAGUGUGGAGCUGAUGAGUUCUGAUUUCUGUUUUCUGUAGAGUUUCCAGUCUCUCUCAGCACCUCCUGAAUCUACAGAUGGAAAUGACGAUCCCUUCAGUUCUCUCUUCUCUUCUGAUGAUCUGAGAGAAUCUGUCCAUCAGCUGAGAGACAAACUGGAGGAUUUCUGCAAAGAGGAGCUCAAGAAGAUCUCAGACAGAGUCACAAUCACCAACAUUGUUCCCAGAACCAGGAACGACUUCCUACAAUGUAAAUAUCUGGUCAUCUGUACUGAGACACUGAUGAUACACUGAACAUGAAGAGUUCAGCUACAUGAACAGAUCAAACAGAUUCAUAAUUCCUGAUUCUGAUGUGUUUUAUCUCCAUCAAAUUCCCAUCAGCUCACUCUGGAUCUGAAAACAGUACAUAAACGCCUCCGUCUGUCUGAGAACAACAGAGUGAUUACUUACACUGGCACAGAUCAGCAUUAUCCUGAUCAUCCAGACAGAUUUUAUGUGUAUCGUCAGGUGUUGUGUAGAGAGAGUGUGUGUGGACUAUGUUACUGGGAGCUGGAGUGGAGUGGAACUAUAUUUGGUGGGGUGCGAAUAUCAGUGUCAUAUAAGAGCAUCAGCAGGAAGGUAUUGGGUAAUGAGUGUAUGUUUGGGUAUAAUGAUCAGUCCUGGAGUUUGAUCUGCUUUCCCUCCAGAUAUUCAUUCAUACACAAUAAGAUACAGACUGUUCUCCCUGUAGAGUCCAUCAGCAGUAGAAUAGGAGUGUUUGUGGAUCACGGUGCAGGAACUCUGUCCUUCUACAGCGUCUCUGAUACAAUGAGCCUCAUCCACACAGUCCAGACCACAUUCACUCAGCUGCUCUAUCCUGGGUUUGGAUUUGGAUCCGGAUCAUCUGUGAAACUGACAAAUAUUGUUGAUGAAUCAGAAUAGGUUGAUGAGAGAUUCUACCCAUAAUGCUUGAAGCUGCAUGAUAAACCAGUAACAAUGAGAUGUUAUAGAGUCUCUUCUUUUCUCUUCAUGUCAUUAAUACUGCAGCUGAACUUCUGUCAGUGAAAUAACAUGUCAGAAUAAAUUGUGUAAUAAAUCCUAUAUUACUAUAUAUUUAUUAUAUAAUAAAUAGACAGUAAGAUCAGUGUGUGUGAGUCCUGAGUGACCAUGUGUUUCUGUGCUUUUCUCAAACUCAGUUUGUGUUGAUUUAGUUUUUAAUGUAGUGUUACGUCUAUCAUUUUAUUAUUACUAUCAUAAUUAAAAUAAUGAAAAUUAAAUCAUUUUCAUUAUUCACCUUAUGGAGCUCGGACCUUUCCAGUGUUUUGUGUUCUUGUGUCUUCCGGUGUUACG